rnacentral:lncRNA from 1 species
GGCGUCUAAGGCUUAAUUUGGCUUAAUUUGGCCGCAGGUCCCAGGGGAGGGCACAGGGGUGCGGGGUGCUUUUCUUGGAUUCAAAUCUGGCACCUGUCCUCCCAGGGUGCACGGCAUCAUGGGCUCACAUGUGCCCAUGUGUGUCCACUCAAGACAUCAGAGGUAGUGGUGAAAACCAGGCAUCUUGAUCCUUGCACAGAUCGGAUGAUUUGCAAAUUAAUAACUCCCCUCCUCCCCCACACAGGCUCUGAGAAGGUGGAACAAGAUUUCUGGUGAAGAGAGAAAAAUGUGCAGAAAAAUACACAAUGAGACCAGGAAGCAAACUGCCAUUGGAUUCUGUAGGAAAAUACUUCCCUGUGAAUGGCACGUGUGUCUUUAGACGUGGGUCUUGGCCUUUCCACGGGGCCACCUUGCCCCCCGUUGCCCGAGCCUCUCGGAAGUCCUGAGAACUGAGGGUGCUAAAGGAGAAACAAGAGAGCCCCUCCGCGUGCUCACACAGAGACACAACUCUCGUCCCCACAGUCACAGGCGUGGUCACCUUCCUGCCCUUCCACAUACCCUGCACUCUGUCCCACCGUGCACGGUGCCCACCUUUUUCUCUUCUGUCCCAGGGGCUGCAGGACCACAUCCCAGGUCCAGGACUAAAAGAAGGGGGUGCAAGGUCUGGGCUCCUGGGGGAUCAACAUGGGAGCGGAGGCUUUGGUGCUGCCUGGAGCUCACCCUCUCCCUUCCCAGACUAUCCGUGGCCCGUCUUUGCUCCGCCAGGGUUGCUGGCUUGCAUCUGAGAUCACCACGCUCGACCUUGCUCCCCUCUUCGGUGCCCAGGGUGUCUCCAGCCCUCGUGGGAAGCCCAGCGUUGUUUACCCAGCCCGAGCGCACACCGUGAAGGCCCUGCCGGAUGCUGCCCUUUCUGGGCCUCAAGGUCCCCUGCCUCCCCACCUCCGCGCCCUCCCCCCAGGCCUUGGAAACAUGGCUGGACAAAGUACACAAAGGAGCCGGGUGACAACCCCCCCCCCCUCAACUUCUCACCUUCGGUAGCGCUCUGCCCUGAGGAAUCUCAAACCUCCUAACUUGGGUUUCUUCCCGGGAAGAAAAGACAUAAUACCGAUCCCCUCUGUUCCUCUGUGGUUCUGGACAGAUAGAGGUAAAAACUGUAAAGUGCUGAACGCAACUGGGUCAUUUCCAGGAGAAAGUACUGGGGUAAGAUUAAGACGACACGAGGCAGGAGCCAACGAGAGAGGGCAAGGAGAGAGCGAGAGAGGUCAGAUCAGUUCCCAGGGACUGAGGCCAGUUUCCAGCGUUGCACAUGCGGUGUCCUCAC